CAGGUGCCCUCGCGUCCUCCCUGCCUGGCUUGGCCGCCCUCCCUGACCCCAGCCCACGCGAGGGGCCCCACAGGCACAGUUGGGGUGCCCCUGGGGUACCUGACAUCCCAUCGAAUACAGGACUUUUCUCCAGGGGUCACUCACCCCAAUCACCAGGGCGGGGCGCAGCUCUCUGUGGAAACGAAGGAGACCGAAUGGGAAGGUGCCCCAGCCGAGGGCCCCGACCCCAGCACCGCUCACGCUCCGGCAACAAAGACCCAAGAGCGGGGCCCCUGGAGCCCCUGAGACACAUCACUGCACCUAUGUCUCCCCCAAGGAGCAGUCCAGGUGUCAUGUGGGUGUGAGAAGGGACAGACACGUCAACGGAGCGGAACAGAGAACCAGGCACGGGCCACACCUCAGGGCCUGUGGGCUGUUCGACAAAGGUGCUGAACAAUGGAACAUCCACAGGCAAACAAAGGAGCCUUGACGUCAGCCUCACUCCCUCCUUU
rnacentral:lncRNA from 1 species